AGAGAGAGACAUGCGCGCAUAUCAAUAAGCGGAGGAAAAGAAACUAACUAGGAUUCCCUCAGUAACGGCGAGUGAAGCGGGAAGAGCUCAAAUUUGAAAUCUUCAAGGUUCUACCUUGACGAAUUGUAGUUUAAAGAAGUGUUUUCUGUUGGAGUUUUGGUAAAAGUUCUUUGGAAUAGGACAUCAUAGAGGGUGAGAAUCCCGUAUUUGACCAUUAUUUCCAGCUUUGUGAUACACUUUCAAAGAGUCGGAUUGUUUGGGAAUGCAGUCCAAAAUGGGUGGCAAAUUUCAUCUAAAGCUAAAUAUUGGCGAGAGACAGAUAGCGAACAAGUACCGUGAGGGAAAGAUGAAAAGAACUUUGAAAAGAGAGCUAAACAGUACGUGAAAUUGUCAAAAGGGAAGCGUUUGACACCAGUGUUGUUUUCUCGAAAAUCAAUUAAAAAUGGCUCGAUUUUGUAUUGUUGAGACCUUAAAAGCUCACUGUACAUUUUUCGUGUCUUUUUUAAUGCACUUUUCGUUUAACAAGUCAACAUCAGUUUCUUUUGUUGUAAAAGGGUCAUUGGAAGGUGGCUUUCUUUUCGGAGAAAGUGUUUAUAGCCUUUGGCCUCUGCAAUCGGAAGAGACUGAGGUCUGCAGCGUAGACUCUUCGGGGUUAGAUACAUUUGCGCUAAGUUAUAGCUUUUUAUAGACAACUUGUUGACUAUAAUUAGUCUUGUAGCUUACUCGCUUAUGCUAUUUUACCUACGCUUAGGAUGUUGAGUCGUAGAGCACGCAG
rnacentral:rRNA from 1 species